GUAGGUGAACCUGCGGAAGGAUCAUUAGAGAGACUUUGCCCUUUAGGUAUAUCUCCCACCCUGAUUAUUUUACCUGGUUGCUUUGGCGAACAGACGCUAUAUGCUGAAGCUCGCCAGAGUGUACAUACUCUUGUUUCAUGUAGUCUGAGAAAAAACAAAAUAUUUAAAACUUUCAACAACGGAUCUCUUGGUUCUGGCAUCGAUG
rnacentral:misc_RNA from 1 species